UACGGAGGAUCCAAGCGUUAUCCGGAUUUAUUGGGUUUAAAGGGUGCGUAGGUGGUUCUUUAAGUCAGGGGUGAAAGACGGGUAGCUUAACUAUCGCAGUGCCUUUGAUACUGAAGAACUUGAAUACACUAGAGGUAGGCGGAAUGUGACAAGUAGCGGUGAAAUGCAUAGAUAUGACACAGAACACCGAUUGCGAAGGCAGCUAGCUAGACCGACAUUGACGCUGAGGCACGAAAGCGUGGGGAUCAAACAGG
rnacentral:rRNA from 1 species